rnacentral:rRNA from 1 species
GUAGGGAAUAUUGGGCAAUGGAUGGAAGUCUGAUCCAGCAAUGCCGCGUGCAGGAAGAAGGCCUUCGGGUUGUAAACUGCUUUUGUACGGAACGAAACGGUCCUGGUUAAUACCCGGGGCUAAUGACGGUACCGUAAGAAUAAGCACCGGCUAACUACGUGCCAGCAGCCGCGGUAAUACGUAGGGUGCAAGCGUUAAUCGGAAUUACUGGGCGUAAAGCGUGCGCAGGCGGUGCUGUAAGACAGGCGUGAAAUCCCCGGGCUUAACCUGGGAAUUGCGCUUGUGACUGCAGUGCUGGAGUGCGGCAGAGGGGGAUGGAAUUCCGCGUGUAGCAGUGAAAUGCGUAGAUAUGCGGAGGAACACCGAUGGCGAAGGCAAUCCCCUGGGCCUGCACUGACGCUCAUGCACGAAAGCGUGGGGAGCAAACAGGAUUAGAAACCCUGGUAGUCC